rnacentral:rRNA from 1 species
GACAGAGGUGCCGAGCGUUAGGCGGAAUCACUGGGCUUAAAGCGUGUGUAGGCGGACCGUUAAGUACCUUGUGAAAUCCCACGGCUCAACCGUGGAACUGCUGGGUAUACUGGCGGUCUUGGGCCACCUAGGGGCAGAUGGAACAGACGGUGGAGCGGUGAAAUGCGUAGAUAUCGUCUGGAACGCCGAAGGUGAAAACAGUCUGCUGGGGGUGUGCCGACGCUGAGACACGAAAGCCAGGGGAGCAAACGGG